UACGGAGGGUGCGAGCGUUAUUCGGAAUUACUGGGCGUAAAGCGCGUGCAGGCGGUCUUGUAAGUCUGAUGUGAAAGCCCCGGGCUUAACCUGGGAAGUGCAUUGGAUACUGCUCGACUUGAGUUCUGGAGAGGAAGGGAGAAUUCCCGGUGUAGAGGUGAAAUUCGUAGAGAUCGGGAGGAACAUCAGUGGCGAAGGCGCCCUUCUGGACAGCAACUGACGCUGAGACGCGAAAGCGUGGGGAGCAAACAGG
rnacentral:rRNA from 1 species